AUCGUUAUUAUCGAUGGCGUGACGCAGGAGGAUAGUGUGUGCUAGCUAUUGGAUGCUAGUCUAAGCGUUUAGGCAGUGAGAGUAGGCAAAUCCGCUCUCAUAAUACUGAGGCGUGAUGGGGAAGGUUCUACGGAACCGAAGUACAUGAUUCCACGCUGCCAAGAAAAGCGUCUAGAGAGAGAAGUAGUGCCCGUACCGCAAACCGACACAGGUAGGUGAGGAGAGAAUCCUAAGGCCGGCGGAAGAAUUACAGUUAAGGAACUCGGCAAAUUGACCCCGUAAGUUCGCGAGAAGGGGUGCCUACGAGAGUAGGCCGCAGAGAAUAGGCCCAAGCAACUGUUUAGCAAAAACACAGGUCUCUGCUAAAGCGUAAGCUGAUGUAUAGGGGCUGACGCCUGCCCGGUGCUGGAAGGUUAAGGGGAACACUUAGCGCAAGCGAAGGUGUGAACUUAAGCCCCAGUAAACGGCGGCCGUAACUAUAACGGUCCUAAGGUAGCGAAAUUCCUUGUCAGGUAAGUUCUGACCCGCACGAAUGGCGUAAUGACUUGGGCACUGUCUCAACUGUAAAUCCGGCGAAGUUGUAGUGCGAGUGAAGAUGCUCGCUACCCGCGAUUGGACGGAAAGACCCCGUAGAGCUUUACUGUAGCUUAGCAUUGAGUUUUGGUAUUGUCUGUACAGGAUAGGUGGGAGACUAGGAAACCAGGGCGUCAGCCUUGGUGGAGUCAACCUUGGGAUACCACCCUGACAGUACUGAAAUUCUAACUGGCGGCCAUGAAUCUGGUCACAGGACAUUGUUAGGUGGGCAGUUUGACUGGGGCGGUCGCCUCCUAAAAAGUAACGGAGGCGCCCAAAGGUUCCCUCAGAACGGUCGGAAAUCGUUCGAAGAGUGCAAAGGCAGAAGGGAGCCUGACUGCGACACCCACAAGUGGAGCAGGGACGAAAGUCGGGCUUAGUGAUCCGGUGGUACCUCGUGGGAGGGCCAUCGCUCAACGGAUAAAAGCUACCUCGGGGAUAACAGGCUGAUCUCCCCCAAGAGUCCACAUCGACGGGGAGGUUUGGCACCUCGAUGUCGGCUCGUCGCAUCCUGGGGCUGAAGUAGGUCCCAAGGGUUGGGCUGUUCGCCCAUUAAAGCGGCACGCGAGCUGGGUUCAGAACGUCGUGAGACAGUUCGGUCCCUAUCCGUCGCGGGCGUAGGAAAUUUGAGAGGAGCUGUCCUUAGUACGAGAGGACCGGGAUGGACUGACCUCUGGUGUACCAGUUGUUCCGCCAGGAGCACAGCUGGGUAGCUAAGUCGGGAAUGGAUAAACGCUGAAAGCAUCUAAGCGUGAAGCCAACCUCAAGAUGAGAUUUCCCAUAGCGUAAGCUAGUAAGAUCCCUUGAAGAACACAAGGUUGAUAGGUCGGGGGUGUAAGCAUGGUAACAUGUUCAGCUGACCGAUACUAAUAGAUCGAGGGC
rnacentral:rRNA from 1 species